GCCGUUGAGGUGUAACAGGUUUGCACAUCAGUCUUCCAAACUGACGGAACGGGUUCGAGGCCCGUCGACGGCU
rnacentral:tRNA from 1 species